AUUGAACGCUGGCGGCAGGCCUAACACAUGCAAGUCGAGCGAGGGCGGACGGGUGAGUAAUGUCUGGGAAACUGCCUGAUGGAGGGGGAUAACUACUGGAAACGGUAGCUAAUACCGCAUACCAUCAGAUGUGCCCAGGUGGGAUUAGCUAGUAGGUGGGGUAACGGCUCACCUAGGGGACGAGCCCUAGCAGGUCUGAGAGGAUGACCAGCCAAACUGGAACUGGGACCCGGUCCAUACUCCUACGGGAGGCAGCAGUGGGGAAUAUUGCACAAUGGGCGCAAGCCUUAUGCAGCCAUGCCGCGUGUGUGAAGAAGGCCUUCGGGUUGUAAAGCACUUUCAGCGGGGAGGCGUUACCCGCAGAAGAAGCACCGGCUAACUCCGUGCCAGCCGCCGCGGUAAUAC
rnacentral:rRNA from 1 species